UAAAAUGUUGACUGUAAGACGAUGGCUGUUUGGAGUCAGUGCUUCCCUUCCCGCUUCGCCUGUGGAUUCUUCGGAGCAGCUGUCUUUCAUAUGCAUGGCACAUUUUGGAAGUCAGAUCAAGUACAGAAACAAAAAGGAGAACAACGUGCCUGGAGAUCAUGAAAAAAAGGUGAAAUAGAGCCAUGGUCAGCAGAGCUCUUGAGCAGAAACUGUUUUCGGACAACAGCCGCCUCUUCUGCUUUUCCUUUUACCCUGCCUGGAUUGCCAGCGCUGCUGUGGCGAAGUGCCAUCAAUACCGAUGACCUUUUAUCUGUUCAUCUAUCGAGGCGGCGAGCACACGGCCACCUGCGGUCACCAUGGAAACGAUGUGAUUUGCUGACUAUAUUCUUUUCCUUGAUGCAUGUUAAAGACUAUUGGCAAGCGGAGGGACACCUGAGCCAAGCCGAUGGAAGCCUCUGCUGUAAAUUGUUGGCACCGCUGUACCAAAGGAUGCUCUGCCCUCUUCCUGGGACCCACGCUGGGGCUGCAGUGGCUGGUGUGGCUGCAGUGGGCAUCAGUGUACUUGUCCCGGACAGCGGUGCCCAGCUCGGGGCAGGAAGGCAGAGCCGCAUCACCAACAGGUGGGCAUCAGCUCGUCAGCGUCCUGGCCUUCACAUGUGCCCAAUUAAGUAAAGCUGCAACCCCCACAAUAAGAAGACCUCACAUGCUGCUUGCCAGGGCCUUUAGAAACACCUCUCUGCCUGCUCUCCUGGAGAAGGUGGAUGCACCGUGUGGACCCAAGAAACAACAGAGCUCAACAGGUACGAACAGGGUUCAAAAAAGCUGGAAUAAGACAAAGGUUUCCACCCUCAGUCAUCACCUAGGACUAACUGGGACCCGGGCUGCCCAUCCCAGCCCAGAGGCUAAGGACAGGAGGAGGC